GCAGGCGAUGGCUGGGUGCACAAGGCGCUGGAUUUGGGCUCCCGCAUCCACCUGGUGGAGGAGCUGCAGGUGUUCGAGCCGGCCCAGCCCGUG